rnacentral:lncRNA from 1 species
ACCUCGCCCGGGGAAAAACACUCUUUUGCUUUGGAUGUAGGCUAGGUAAACCUUUGAACAAUGCUAUCAGACACUUAUGGUGAUUGCGACUGUGCUAUCCACCAUCCACUCAUGGUUGGGUGGUGAACUGGUAAUCAUGACACGGGGUUGGUAGAUCUUCCGCUUUCUUGCACGUUGCCCAUAGUCCCGGUGACAUGAUAUGAGCAGGAUACCACACCACUUGCAAGAAGAAAGAAAAGAAACAGGGAUAAUGUUGAAAAAGGCGACACUAGUUGAGCUUUUAUGAACAUCAUCACCACCUGAUUCUAGUAGGGACAC